rnacentral:rRNA from 1 species
UACGUAGGGGGCUAGCGUUGUCCGGAAUCAUUGGGCGUAAAGCGCGUGUAGGCGGUCCGGUAAGUCCGCUGUGAAAGUCGGGGGCUCAACCCUCGGAUGCCGGUGGAUACUGUCGGGCUUGAGUACGGAAGAGGCGAGUGGAAUUCCUGGUGUAGCGGUGAAAUGCGCAGAUAUCAGGAGGAACACCAAUUGCGAAGGCAGCUCGCUGGGACGUUACUGACGCUGAGACGCGAAAGCGUGGGGAUCAAACAGG